rnacentral:misc_RNA from 1 species
GAAUUGCGAUAAGUAAUGUGAAUUGCAGAAUUCGUGAGUCAUCGAAUCCUUGAACGCACAUGGCGCCUGGGGGCCAUCUCCCAGGCACGCCUGUUUGAGUGUCGUUUUUCUCGAUCACCGUGCCUAAACCACGGUGGAUGCUGAGUAUUGAUCUCUCUAGUCAAGGGGCCAUUACUUGAAAUGUAGUCCUGGUCUUACCAUAGCAAGUGAUCCGAGUAGGAUUGUUAUGCACUCCUACUACCUACAAAGGACCACUGAUGAGUACAAGGACGUACUAUGUGAUACCCAAAGCGACCUCAAAUCAGGCGAGACCACCCGCUGAACUUAA